CACGUAGGGUGCGAGCGUUGUCCGGAAUUAUUGGGCGUAAAGAGCUCGUAGGCGGUCUGUCGCGUCGGAUGUGAAAACCCAGGGCUCAACCCUGGGCCUGCAUCGAUACGGGGCAGACUAGAGUUCGGUAGGGGAGAAUGGAAUUCCCGGUGUAGCGGUGAAAUGCGCAGAUAUCGGGAGGAACACCGGUGGCGAAGGCGGUUCUCUGGGCCUGACCUGACGCUGAGGAGCGAAAGCGUGGGGAGCGAACAGG
rnacentral:rRNA from 1 species